rnacentral:rRNA from 1 species
UACGUAGGGUGCAAGCGUUGUCCGGAAUUAUUGGGCGUAAAGAGCUCGUAGGCGGUUCGUCGCGUCGGCUGUGAAAACCUGAGGCUCAACCUCAGGCCUGCAGUCGAUACGGGCGGACUUGAGUACUGCAGGGGAGACUGGAAUUCCUGGUGAUAGCGGUGAAAUGCGCAGAUAUCAGGAGGAACACCGGUGGCGAAGGCGGUUCUCUGGGCCUGUACUGACGCUGGAGGAGCGAAAGCGUGGGGAGCGAACAGG